rnacentral:misc_RNA from 1 species
AGUCGUAACAAGGUUUCCGUAGGUGAACCUGCGGAAGGAUCAUUAACACUUUUAAAAAAAAAACACUUAACACCUUUGUGAGAACUACUAAACACGCAAAACUUGAAGAUGAAGGGGAGGGGGAAAGAGAAAAAAGGGGAAACCCUCUUUUCACACCCCUCCUCCCUCUCUGAUUCAAUAAUUAUUUUUUUUAACAAACACCGUUACCAAAUUGAAGGUGAACAAAUUCUUGGAGUUAAAAAACCAAAUAAAAAAUAAAACAAAAAUACAACUCUUAACAAUGGAUAUCUUGGUUCUCGCGACGAUGAAAAACGCAGC